rnacentral:lncRNA from 1 species
AAAAAUAAAAAACAUGGUACAAAAAAACAUACAUUUUUUUAUAUAUACAUGUCUUGUUUUGUCUUGUUUUAUUAUUAUUAUUAUUAUUUUUUAUUUUAUUUUAUUUUUUUUUGGUAAAGUGAAAAAGAAGUUCGAUUUUUAUGGGUUGGUACACCCAUGGUUAAAGAUGAAAACCCCGUAUCGUUAUGUCUACAUGUAAAUUUAAAAAUAAUUUAAUGUUUGUUUCUUUUUUCUUAUAUUGCGCCUAGAUACAUUAAUUUUUUAUUUUUAAUUCUUAUGUUAUGUAUUCUUAUACAUGUGUUUGUGCACACAUAUGUAUAUAUAUGUAUAGGUGCGUGCUUCAUUAUAUAUAUAUACGCUUUUUUUUGUUUUAUUCACAUUGCAACAGGGUUUAUCAACACAAGAAAUUUACUCACGUAGUAUUGAAGACUGUAGCGUACAACAGAUAGGAAAUAUAGAAGACAAAGAAAACAAUAAACUAAGUGAAAUGCUUAACUUUUUAAUUUUAAUCGAAGAGUUUAAUCCUUUAGAAUAUAGCAAUGAAAGAUUUGAAUAUUCGUUUAAGUUUGCAAGAAGUUCUUUGAUAAAUUUUACCAGUACCGAUGAACAUUUAAACAAAGGAAACCAGAACACAACACUUUUAAAAAACAACAUGUAUGACAGUACUGAUGAGGAAGACAAUACUACGCAAGAGAAACCUUUAAAAAGAGGAAAGCUAACAAAAACAAUUAAACCAAAAAACGAAAUUACUUUUAAAAAAGAUAGUUUAAAAAAUAAAAAAAAAACAAUUCCAGACCCAAGAUCUGUACUUUUAACCAACAUUAAUAAAGCUUUUCAAAAAAAUAUUAUAUGAAUAGAAUAGAAUAUUACAAAAUGUUUUUAUAACCACAUUUAUCUACACCUACCUAUGCAUGUAUGUAUUUAACGCGAUUGUUAUGCAUAGCUUAUAGUUCUAUUCGAAAACAUAUAACAUAGGUACAAACGAAAUAAAUAUAUAAAAUAAACGCGUUUUCGUGCA